CCGACGGUGAGAGGCGAAAGCUGGGGGAGCAAACCGGAUUAGAUGCCCGGGUAGUCCCAGCUGUAAACGAUGCGCGUUAGGUGUGUCAGUGACCACGUGUCACUGAUGUGCCGAAGGGAAACCGUGAAACGCGCCGCCUGGGGAGUACGGUCGCAAGGCUGAAACUUAAAGGAAUUGGCGGGGAGCACCACAACGGGUGGAGCCUGCGGUUUAAUCGGACUCAACGCCGGAAAUCUCACCGGAUAAG
rnacentral:rRNA from 1 species